rfam:Schistosoma haematobium scaffold353_5, whole genome shotgun sequence.
AUCCAGAUGACGAUUCUUAAAUAAAACGAGACACGUGUCCUGGAU